CAAGGCAUGCCUAGUACGGCGAGUGAGCGGCAACAGCUCAAAUUUGAAAGCUGGCUCCGGCCCGCGUUGUAAUUUGCAGAGGAUGCUUCUGGCGAGGUGCCUUCCGAGUUCCCUGGAACGGGACGCCAUAGAGGGUGAGAGCCCCGUAUGGAUGGACACCAAACCUGUGUGAAGCUCCUUCAACGAGUCGAGUAGUUUGGGAAUGCUGCUCUAAAUGGGAGGUAAAUCUCUUCUAAAGCUAAAUACCGGCCAGAGACCGAUAGCGCACAAGUAGAGUGAUCGAAAGAUGAAAAGCACCUUGAAAAGGGGGUUAAACAGUACGUGAAAUUGUUGAAAGGGAAGCGCUUGUGACCAGACUUGCGCCGGGCAGCUCAUCAGGGGUUCUCCCCUGUGCACUCUGCCCGGCUCAGGCCAGCAUCGGUUCUCGUGGGAGGAUAAGAACGGUAGGAACGUGGCCCCCCUCCGGGGGGGUGUUAUAGCCUGCCGUACGAUACUCCCGUGGGGACCGAGGUUCGCGCUCCGCAAGGAUGCUGGCGUAAUGGUCAUCAGCGACCCGUCUGA
rnacentral:rRNA from 1 species